AAUAAGGUGCCUGAUUAAAGGAUUAUUUUGAUAGAAUAAAUUAUGUAUUUUUUACCCUUAUUG
rnacentral:tRNA from 1 species